rnacentral:lncRNA from 1 species
AUGCUGGGGGAUGGAUUUCCUCAAAGAAUCACCUGUACGGAGAGUGAACGAGCUGCCCCAGGGUGCCAGCAGACCUGGGACCACCGGCAACGCCUAAAGCACACGCGGGGACCCCGGGGACUGCGACACAAUCCGAGGAGCAGCACCCAGAGGGGGCCAGGCGUGGGCGACGGGAGACACCCGCAAGGAGGGUGGGCGGCGGCUCCGCUGGAAGCUCCCCCUCGGCCCCCCCCCCCGCCGCGCCCGGAUCCAGAUCCGAGUGUAGAUGCCCGCACCCCCCGACGGCGCGGCCCACUCCGACCCGCAGGUCAUCUCGGGCUUCCCAAGCCUGCGCGUCUGAGCUCGGGCCCGGUUCCCCACUCAAUCGCUGAAGCUCGGUUUUCUAACCCAUCAACGGGCGGGAAGCCCAGUACCAAGCCGGCGGGUCGGAGUGGGGCCACCUGGUGUUGUUUUCCCAGUGCGGACCACUCGGGCAGGCCAACACCAAGCUCGGAGCCACGUCCCAGCAUCCUCACGGGGCUGCAUCCGCGGCGGGGCGGCCGGCGCUCGGGCUCUGGGCAGGCUCCGGUUAGGUCCGAGGGCCUCGCGGCUCGGGGGCGGAGGCCCGGCAGCGCCAAGCGGUCCCCUGGCCAGCGCCGAGGCCCCGGAGGACGUCUCGCGGGGACCUCGCUUCGACCCCGGCUCUGCCUUCCCCUUCGCGCGCCGGGGCCCGACGCCGCAGCCGCCGCACAACGCGGCCACCCGCGCGGCCCCUUCCCGCGUUCUUCCCAGCGCCUACUGAGGCUGCGCAGGCGUGAGGGCGGGAGAGCCAGGGCCCGCCGCGCGCGCGCCCUCUGCUGGCGCCUAACGAUCCCCCCGGCCCCGUACGCACGUCCCAAGCCCCGCCCCCGAGCUGCGGGCGCGCGGAGCCGUUGGCGACGUGCCCCGCCCUCCCCUCCCGCCGGGGGGCGGGGCCGCCCCGGAGCCGGGAGAGGUGGGGGGGGGGGGAGAGGGAAAGAAGGCGGGGACCCGGGAGGCCCCGCCCCCCGCCGGGCUGCAUUUGAAGCCCCCGACUCUUCAGGGCUGGCCAAUUGGAGCCCGCCCUGUCCCGAGCGCCGACCAAUGAGCGGCGCGCUCGGGCCGCUUCCGGCACCGCGCCUCGCUCGCCCCUUCCCCAGCUCUCCCCGCGACGGGCGGGGCGCGGGAGCGGGCGGCGGCCGCGGUGACGCGCGGCGGGCUGGGAGCCAAUAG